rnacentral:rRNA from 1 species
UAGUCCACGCCGUAAACGAUGGACACUAGCUGUUGGGAUUAAUCUCAGCGGCUAAGCGAAAGUGAUAAGUGUCCCACCUGGGGAGUACGAUCGCAAGAUUGAAACUCAAAGGAAUUGACGGGGGCCCGCACAAGCGGUGGAGCAUGUGGUUUAAUUCGAUGAUACGCGAGGAACCUUACCAGGGCUUAAAUGUAAUAUGACAGGACUAGAGAUAGUUUUUCUUCGGACAUAUUGCAAGGUGCUGCAUGGUUGUCGUCAGCUCGUGCCGUGAGGUGUCAGGUUAAGUCCUAUAACGAGCGCAACCCCUGCCGUUAGUUGCCAGCAUUUAAAGAUGGGGACUCUAGCGGGACUGCCGGUGCAAACCGAGAGGAAGGUGGGGAUGACGUCAAAUCAUCACGGGCCCUUACGUCCUGGGGCUACACACGUGCUACAAUGGUAGGUACAAAGAGUCGCUAAGCCGCGAGGUAGAGCUAAUCUCAG